UUUGUAUUUUUAGUAGAGACGGGUUUUUUUUUUCUGGAAAUACACAUAAAAAUCUAGAAAUAUAACACAUUAUAGAAAUACCACAAGACCACAUAUCUGAGGGGAAAUUAGAACCCUCUGUGGGGUUACUGUGCUGAGUUACACCCUAACAAAUCUAUCCCCAAAGACACCUUAUAAGAGUGAACAGGACUUGCUAACCUAAAUAGGUGUAGAGCUAGCACUACUCCAGGGAAGUGGAAAUAGCAGCAAGUCAGCCAGGAAAAACAAUAGAGGUGUAAAUGAAGGGAAUAAUUAGGACACUAGAGCAUAACCAUCAUCAACACUUGCCUUGUAUCCUCAUUUCGGAAGAACUGCUGAAUGCUGGAUAUGAAAGCUAAUGUCUUUGAGAGUCAGUGGACAAGUCUGUAACAGGGACAUGCAUCUAUGCAAAAGCGACAGUGAGACUAACUCACGGAAGGGUAUUGUGGAAAGUGGUGUCUUUACCAUUGUUCUUUAAUGGUCUGGUCCAUGUGCCAUGGAUAACUAGUUUUCCUUGUGUUGCAUCUAGCUGGGACUGGACAGAGAAACAACAUCAUAUUGUAUCCAUGGAGAUAGUUGAAAGUGCUGUAAAAUGACAUCCUGCAGUUGUUUUGUUUUGUUUUUGGUAAAAGCCUAUCUAGUGAUAUCUGGGAGAUAUAUACAUAUAUAUAUACACACACACACACACAUAUAAAGAUACACAUAUAUAUGUAUAUAUACACAUGCAUGCUCACACACACACACACACACACACACACAUAUAUAUAUCCAGGUAUAAAGUGACAUCUGUAAUUUACCAAUGAGUGGCCUCCAGUCACCACACUUAAUUGGGAACAUGUUUUCCAUGGCAAAAACACAAUUCUGUUGCAAAGAAAGAGAAAAUUAUGCUGUAAUUUAACCAAUUACACACACAAUAGUGUAAUGAACAUUAUGUUAAUAUCUUUGACUCUGAAAUGGGAUAUCCAAGAGUUUUCUGGUUGAUCGACAGAACCAGAUGAAAACCAGUUUCUCCCCUGGAAUGAGAAAAUAUAUGAGGAGGCUGAUAUAAAGGCCCAAAAGAUAUUUUUGUCCAGAAACAAAAUGAGAAUUUUGCCUUACAAAAUUAAACUUGGAAGUAAAUGUUUCUAUUAUCAUGUGUCUUGAACAUCCAAAUAAGUGCUUACAAUGGAGAAAAAAAUCAGUAAGUUAAAAGACACAUAUAUAUGUAUAUAGAUAUGUGCAUAUAUAUGUAAACAUACAUAUGUGUAUAGAUAUUCACCUAUGUAAAUUCUUGUGGAGGAAUCAUAGAAUUAACAUGAUUUGUAGAGGGAAUUUAGAGUCCAAGUUGAAUUGUUUAAAUGUUAAUGGAUGUCAGGAUGUUAUUAGGCUUAUUGUUUUGUUUCAAAUAUUACAAAAUAUUUUAUAAGAAAAAUCCUGAAAAGAUUUUAAGAAGUCCUUGGCAAAAAAAAAAGAAAAAGAAAAAGAAAAAAAUACCAAGAUGAGAGAGUGGAUUGGGAAAGUGUUAGUAGCAAACUGAUUUUUGUUUGUUUGUUUACAUGAUGUCAAUCUUUUGGUUCUAUGAAACAUUUUUCCUACUGCCUUAAAUAUGAUACACAAUAAAUUAACAUUUGCCAACAAUAUGGUAUUUUUCUUGAAUUUUUGGAAACUUCUGAAGCAUUCACUAAGGAGUUACCAUUUUACAAGGAUGAGAAAAUAGAGCAGUCCAGUUACUGUGGCAUAAGAAAAGACUUUGUCAUACCUGGGGUUACAAGUCUAAUGAAAUCACAUGAACCGGGAGGAGAGUUUUUCAAAAAAACAGAAGUAAUAGUCGGGAAAGUAUAUUAAAUAAUUACAACUGUUAUGUGAUAAGAUACACAAUAAGGAUUUUAUAAAAUACAAUAUUAUUAAAUAAAAUCAUGUUUUUAAGAAGAUCCCUAAUUCAGAAGCACUCAUAAUUUAUAGUUAGUUUUUAUUACAUGAAGCCAGAGAAACAUGAGUCCUAUUAACAGUGAAUCUGGCAAGCGAGACAUGCAUACUAUUCAGGAGACACGGCAAUGGAGGGGAGCUAGCAUUGACAAUGUGCUCUUACAUUGAUACUGUGUUAGCAUGUGAGAAGUGAAGUUAGAUUAUUAUAUCAGGGAUAUAUUACAAAACUUAAAAACAUUGCAGAUACCUAUCUGGCAAGGAGAGUGAGAUAAAUCACAGGAAACUAGUGGCCCAUGGGUCUAAGACAAAGUUUCAUCACAAAUUACACAUCAGACAGGUAUUCAUCCUCUUUGAGGACUGUGAAUUAGAGUCCACACACCAGAAAGGACAAUAACUUCCAUUGGUGUGCCCUGAAGAGAUGCAAAGGUAGGAAGAGACCGUGCCUUAUAGUAGUCCCAUGUUUGAUCUUACAAGGAGUCUAAGUGGAGAUGAUGUGAACGCCAGGCCUGUGGGGGUCACUGUAAACUGAGCUACAGGAAACUUGGGUAUGGAAAAAUAUUGCCUGAAAUUUUGCUGCAAAUAGUCAGUUCUCUUUCUUUCUGGAAUCUGAGCAGGAAGGUAAAUGUCCAAAUUUCGUUCAUCAAGGCUUAGAUACUUUGCAUAAGGUCAGUAACACUGUGUUCCCUUGCCGAGGAUUAGGCAGCUAUAGUUCAGUGCAGAUUUGUCCUAGCUGACUGCCUGGGUCAAUACGAGAAUGAGGAUGUAAGUAAAAAAUCCAGCUCUGCCCUAAUCAAAGUUGUGGAAAUAAAAUAUUAUGAAUAUUAUUUGAUUAUUUCAAUCAAAUAUCAUUAUAUUAUUAUGAUAUUAUUUUCCAGAGACACAAAAUCUCUUGCCACUACAUUUUGAUAUUGAUCAAGGAAAAUAUUUAGAAGUGGCUCUCCACUAAGCGUUUUCUCUCCUGGUGCCAACAGCAAUACCUGGACAUCAGAGGCAGAUGCAGUCAAGGGAAGGAUCAUAAACUUUCUUUGGAAAGAGACCAUCUUACUACCAAGCCAGUCGGGGGCUUGGAUCUUGCCCUAACAGCAACUGAAGGAUUUGAGGCUUUUUCUGAAAAGGCAGCCCCAGGUCCUAGGGGAGGCUCAGAUCCUGAUUGGGCUGAUGACACGAUGCCUGCGUCUCACAAUGGCGCUUUUUGUUUCAACUGUUUAUGCAGUUGGAGUUCUCCAUAUAAUUAAUAUGAACUAUCAUUUAUGGGGAUCCUUCUCAGAAGAACUGCUGAAUGCUGGAUAUGAAAGCUAAUGUCUUUGAGAGUCAGUGGACAAGUCUGUAACAGGGGCUUUGCUGCUGGAAGGAAAGCGACCAAGGGUCUGAUCCAAGGCAGCCUGGGGAUGAAUACAGUCAGUGCCACCACAGCAGGAACAGGCACAGUUCUGAUGGCUGUGGAAGUAAUAUAUAUCUUUUUAAGAAGAAUUUGUAUCUCUACUUAUAGCACAUUUUUUUCUGUAGUAAGUACUGUUGCACUAAUACAAUAAUAUAAAUAGGUUUUAUAUUCAGGAGGUUUCCUUGUGAAUUCUCACCAUGGAGCUAACUGGAGUCAUUGGACUUAUACAUAUUGGACUAUCUCUUGAAAUUUACAGGAUUUGGGCUUUUGAACCAUGCCAGGAAUAACGUACCGAAAAAAAAAUAACCUCUUCUCUCUGACCACUCUGAUGUUGUGUGCUUGGACAAUGGAAAAUGUUGUAAGGACUCAGAGUCCAGGGAGCACUUCCCUCUUGAUUUGAAACACUAGCUGAAGAGAAAACAGAAAACUGACAGCUGUAGCUACACCAUAAUUUCCAAGGAUUCUGAGCAACAAGCUAAGAUGACUGGGUCAUAUACAUUCAUUUUCCUCAAUGGCAUCCACAGUGAGUGAGAAGUUCAGGGAGUUAAAUGCAGGCUGUUGUGAAAUAAGAAGCAACUGGUUUUAAAGACUAAAAGAUACUUCUAAGCCAAACAAAAG
rnacentral:lncRNA from 1 species